UCAGCUGGAUUUGUUAUUGUUCUCCUGCCAACCUCCACACUAGAUGUGUAACUGACAGUUAAUCUGUAAAUCUAUGUCGUUGUUUUUUUGUUUGAAUAGUUUACGUGUUCGCUAUGCGGAGGAAAUGAUAAGACAGGUGGAACUACGUGGCUAAUAACUGUUGUAACGGGGAUCAUUAUCGUAGCAACACAUCUUUGGGGGUGAAGGCUUUCCCGCGCGAUGUUAGCUAAGUUUUCAUGUUACCGGGUGUAGUUCGUAAAGGUUGAUAUGUGUAUGUUAGGAUGAAGCGUGAAUUCAUGCCAGGAAUAAUAAGUGUGAAGUUUGAUUUCCUCCCUUCUGUAAUAAGCAGCCAAUUAGUUCUCACGGAAGGUGAUAAUUCUGACUAAACUACAGAAUAAAGCCGCCAGUUAAAAUCAA